UUCUGUGUGGCCUCUUGUUGAUCAGUAUCUCAAUUAGUGCUGGAGGACAAAGGGAGAGGCAGGUGGGACAGCAAGGGGGAUUUUCUAUCCAGCUCCAGUUCAAGUAUUAAUGCCAGUGUUUGGCUUACAAUGAGCACUAAGGUGUAGUUAUGAACUUUCCUUAAACUUUAGGUGAUACUUGUCACUGCAAUUGGUUGGCUGUGCUUCCCUGAAGGCCAGAGAAGUUUGAGUUAGUUUUCCACUCCUGCAGGGCUGCUCUGGGGAGAAGGUCAAUUGUACCUGGGAGAUGCAAUAGGAAAGUGAGAGAUCAAAUAUGUAAACGAUGAAUUUUAAUUAAUAUUGAAACCUUCGAAAUUAUGUUAAUGUACAGGAAAUAUGAGCUUAUUUUUGUAGUAUUGUUCUUCCCCUCCCUCCAGCAGUUUUUAUUGAUGUAAAUCCAGGCGUGGGGCCUCCAAAAAAGAAGAACAUGGAGCUGCUGGAGUGAGUCUAUAGGAAGGUCUCCAAGAGCAGCUAGCAGAAUACAAGACCCUCCAAGGACUGAAAUUCAGUAUGUUAUAAAGCCUGUGAGCCAAGACCACAUCCAUCACCAUGGAUGUAAAGAAAAUGAAGAAAAAUCAAGAAAAAAGAAAGAAUAGCAACAAUUUUGGACUUUUCAGUGAAACUACACAUCUUCCUGAAAAUUCUACUCACCUUCAACACAGACUUCCAUUUCAGAAACCAUUCUGAGGUUUGGAUCUUCUUGACAUAAUUUCAGCAGAUCUUCCUGUGUGCAUCUUCAGGCUUUGGACAAGCAUGGGUCUUUUCUUGCUUUGAGAACCUCAUCCUCCUUACAGAAGUGCUGACCGAGUGCAGUUCGGUGUACUCUUUACAGCAGGAGGCACUGUGACAGUUUAGGACAUUGCUCCUUAAUGUAAUUUGAAAUGAAAGAGAUCACUCUCUCCUUGUGUGUGUUCUUGUCUA
ensembl:lncRNA